UACGUAGGGGGCAAGCGUUAUCCGGAAUCAUUGGGCGUAAAGCGCGUGUAGGCGGUUCCGUAAGUCCGCUCUGAAAGCCCAGGGCUCAACCCUGGGAGGCGGGUGGAUACUACGGAACUGGAGUACGGAAGAGGAGAUUGGAAUUCCUGGUGUAGCGGUGAAAUGCGCAGAUAUCAGGAGGAACACCAACAGCGAAGGCAGAUCUCUGGGACGUUACUGACGCUGAGACGCGAAAGCGUGGGGGAGCAAACAGG
rnacentral:rRNA from 1 species